UCCUCUUGAAGUUAGGAAGUGAGUGCCGUAGCUGGGGGGAAAGGGAGAGAGAGAAAAUUGUGCACAGAGAACAAACACAAGUACAUGCUGAUGUCAGCAGUAUCAAAAGAUGAGACAUGCAGGAAACUUUCUUGAAAAACAUCCUAUCUGCACUUCAUCUCUCCGUCUUUCUCUCAUUGCUUUCUUCUUCUUGAUCUGUGACUUUCUCCUUGUACAGUCUUCUCUUUUACUCUCACCUCAGACGUGACAUAGCAUGGCAUUGAAAAAAGACUGUCAGCAUGUCUCCUUCUGAAAACUAGUUUCAAAUUAGAGCUUCCUGCUUACAAGGGUGAAGUAACAGAAAAGCACAGCCAGUGGUGGCUCAUUGGUGGCUUAAGGCUCUUGGAUACUGACUGGAAGGUUGUAAGUUCAAAUCCUGACACUGCCAAGCUACCAUUGUUUGACAGUUAAUCUGCUGAACUCACUUCUCUUCUCAUCUAAAAAUCAUCCAAAUGCCUUGAGACCCAAUACGGGGGUUGAGGAUAAAGCCUGCAGAGAUGUUUUUCGUCAGCCUUCUUGCCUGGAGGACGCUGCCAGGUGCUGUGUUUGCAUAGUGCCUGUGUCCUCAUGGGGAAAAAAAGACUGAUGCGGAUCACGACCAUCCAUCAAAACCUGAAAAAGGCCGGCAUUAACUUUUAACAAAUGCCUCUGCCAGGAAAAGCCAACGACUCAGCACUGGGUCCGACCCAGCUCUCUUUAUCAGCAAUAUCCAUCUCCACCCAUCACCCUAAGAACACAGCCUCUCUCUGUUUAUUUAUUAGUCUGCGUCUUGCUGUUACUUAGAUACAUUUCUCUUUCUCAGUGAGACACUACCAAUUAUUCAAGCUUUAGGGACUUCAGCAGUAACUUGCAGGGAAUUGAGAAGGUAAAAUGUGACAGCAGUGGUUCUUGGGAACAGUGAAACAAUCUUAUUCUGAGAAUCUCUUCAUUUAAUAAUACCUCCUAACAACCUCUGUGACCUGAGUGUUCUCCGUCUUCCUAGCAACCUUCAUCUUCCUCUAACUACUGCAUUACCAGUACCUAUGUUUAGCAUCGUAACCUUUUCUCUGCUGGUGUGUUUUGAGGCAACCACACCCCCCAACCUUCCACCCACACUUCUCUGCUCAAUGGCCAUCAGAAGCUCUCGUCCUUGCCAUCAUGUUCCAUGUGAUAGAGUGCUAGUAAUUAUGGCAGCUCUUCUCUCAGAGUGCCACUAUUCACAUUGCUUUCUAUUUCUGCCACAUGGCUGGAUCAGGUUGAGAUUAGAGGCAACACAGGGAGGCAGUGUUUUUGUGCUACCCUGCCUGCAUGGCACUCUAAAACUUGUUAGCCUCAGAUGUACAGCAGUGGUUUCUACAUGUUUUUUUUUUUUCUUUCUAAUCCUUACUAAUGAAAAAAAAUAGAAACUGCUCCUGGCAACAGGCAUCUUAGCUGCCUGGUGAAGUAUUGAUUUCCCCCUGUUGUUAAUCAAGGGUCUUGAUUAGCAAAUUAAUUAGUUGACUUUUCUGAUAACUCAUGUUUGCCUUAAUUAAAAAAAAAAGGCCUGACAUUUAGCUUGUUAUUACUUCAGUAUUAGUUAAAAAGUAUUACAUUUUUUAUUUACUACUAUUAUAAGGUGUUAGGUUAUUCAUAUACAUAAUCUGAAUUCCAAAUAAAGGAUAUUAAGGAAAUUAUUUCAAUGGGAAGACAUGCUUAAUAGUAAAAAAAAAAAAUUAUUGCACCUCUAUUGACCUUAUCAGUAUCAGCUCUGAUCUGGCACUUAAGUAUCAGUGUUGGCAAAAGAACAUAACAAUAUCAUGAAGUCAUUUUUGACUCAAGCUCAGUUGAAGCCAGCAACAUAUCAGUGAUUUCAAAUUUCUUCAAGCUUAAGACGAGCAAAAAAGUUUGUUGCAUAAUUUGUAAUGGAAAUGAUUCAAGAGGGGGCAAGAGGAGCAAGGACUUCAAUACAUUCAAUUGAAGUAAGCAUUUGAAAACUAACAGUGCCAAAGAGAACAGCUAUUUCAUCCCAUACUAUGAAAAAGCCAAGGUAAAUGUCAGCAAUAACCAGAAGAAACAUUUCACAAACACAUUUCAAACAUGACUGUGAAAAAGAGAAACAGGUAAAAAAAAAAAGAUCUCAUUGUAGGAUCAGUUCUUUACAGUUAUAAAUAAUUUAGGUUUUUGUCAACAGAUUGGCUCUACCAAAGCUGUACAAUCAGGUGUCUGAAUACAUGAAUGAGUACUUGAAUAAUGUCACUGCAAUUAGCAUCACCACCAACAUUUCGAGUUUAUCCAAUGAGUUUAUUAGAUGUGUAUCCAAUGCCAUUUUUAAGUCUGAAUGCUACUUUUCACUAAAAGUGUAGGACUGAAAACAAAAAUUUCAUGGAUCAAAUACUGCAGAAGCUGCAGCAGCACUUGAAGGAAUGCUUAAAGUAUGGUUUAUUCUGAAGAACUGUUUUUUUUUUUAAAACAAUGCAAAGAAUUUAGGCCAUGUCACCCAUUUGCUAAAUAUCAUUGUGCACUAAGGUCUAUUGGUGAUGCUCUGGCUAGUCUGAGGAAUAUUGUGUCAUUUCAAGCACUCCCUGCUAGAAUACUCACAACUGGAGAAUAAAAAUACCUGUUAAGUGACUGUACGAGGAUGUUCAAAGUUGGUUGAGCAAAAACCAAGCUCUUCGUCUGCCUCAGCUGCUGAUGUAAUACCUGGUGCCAUUGCCAUUCCUUGUUAUAGAAGGCUAUGCUGACUAAGGAAUAAGGACUAUGAACAUCACCUUGAGGGAUUUAGAGAACAGAAGAAUUAGCAUGAUUGAGGCAGAACAAUUGUACUCUAGUGGACCCAAGAUAUAAAGACAGAUCAGUAUUUAUUAACCACCAUGUGUAGGCCUAUUAUUAAGCAAAUUAUUGCUUUGUGUUUAACAGAUUUUAAUAGACUACUCACUUACUCGUUUCAACUUAUUUAGGCUUAUAGGUUUAUGAAACAAUGAAAGGAAAUUUGUUAUUUUUCACUAAACAGUUGUCUAUAAUAAAUGUGUUUGUUUUACAUUUAAGUAAUUAUUAAUUUGUCUAUGUGCCCUGGAUCUACAUACUCUGCUUUAGCACUUUAUUACUUUAGGCAUGUCACAAGCUCAGAAUCUUUGCAACAGACAACGAUAACUUUGACACAAGUGGUUGAAAAGAUAGUGGAAAAAGCUCUUGUCACUGUCUGAGAUGGUAAAAAAAUACACAUUUAGACUCCAGAAAACCAGAAAAGAGCUAUCUUGGUGGAUUAUCUGAUGAAAUCCUGUAAGUGUGUCAAGGAGAAUCUAGCCAUACAAACAUGAAUACUGCAGUUCAGGUACAUACACAUAUUUCUGAGCCAACAGUUCCUUGAUCAAGCAAUCCAGUGAGGUUCCGGAGAACCAGGCAGACCAGAUUUCCUUCACUGGCUACUCUAUAUGCCCCAUGCACAAGUACUGGAGGCAAACAACCUUUCAGUUCAACUUCUUUUAUUUUGGAUGAACAGACUAACAAGAUGCUGGUUGACUCAGGGGGAAUGUUGUUUCUUCUCAACAAGAAUCUUAAUUUAGUGGUGAAAUGAUUAUAACUGGACGAACAUUUGCAAACACUGU